rnacentral:rRNA from 1 species
UUCCAGAUAUGCCAGGGAACCUGGAAUGGUUUCUGGCAGAAAUGCUCCGGCGCCUCAGGAUGGGUCUGCGGCCUAUCAGGGUAGUAGUGGGUGUAACGUACCCACUAGCCUACGACGGGUACGGGUUGUGAGAGCAAGAGCCCGGAGAUGGAUUCUGAGACAUGAAUCCAGGCCCUACGGGGUGCAGCAGGCGCGAAAACUUUACAAUGCGGGAAACCGCGAUAAGGGGACACCGAGUGCCAGCAUCUUAUGUUGGCUGUCCGCAUGUAUAAAUCACAUGUGUUAGCAAGGGCCGGGCAAGACCGGUGCCAGCCGCCGCGGUAACACCGGCGGCUCGAGUGGUAACCGUGAUUAUUGGGUCUAAAGGGUCCGUAGCCGGUUUGGUCAGUCCUCCGGGAAAUCUGAUAGCUCAACUAUUAGGCUUUCGGGGGAUACUGCCAGACUUGGAACCGGGAGAGGUAAGAGGUACUACAGGGGUAGGAGUGAAAUCUUGUAAUCCCUGUGGGACCACCUGUGGCGAAGGCGUCUUACCAGAACGGGUUCGACGGUGAGGGACGAAAGCUGGGGGCACGAACCGGAUUAGAUACCCGGGUAGUCCCAGCCGUAAACGAUGCUCGCUAGGUGUCAGGCAUGGCGCGACCGUGUCUGGUGCCGCAGGGAAGCCGUGAAGCGAGCCACCUGGGAAGUACGG